rnacentral:rRNA from 1 species
GGCUUAAUUUGACUCAACGCGGGGAAUCUUACCGGGUCCGGACACACUGAGGAUUGACAGACAAUUGUCUUUUUGUCAAAUUUAAAGACAAAAGAUAACAGAUCUUUCAUGAUUAUGUGAUGGGUGGUGCAUGGCCGUUCUUAGUUCGUGGAGUGAUCUGUCUGCUUAAUUGCGUUUCAAAUAUAUUUUAUUAUAUAACGAGUCUACAAAGGAGUGGUUCAUUAACAGACAAUCAUAUCUUUGAGCGUCUGGAAUCUACUCUAUUUGGCUCAAUUGAACGCAACGGACGUGAUCGCGAGUCCUUGUUGAACUUCAGUAUAUAUUGACUUUCCCCGUAGGAAGGGAUUGGCAAUAAUUGAAUGUUCGCUUUCUAUAGGUGUGUAUGAUUAAUCUCAAAAUUACAUGUAUUUGUAGUGGCGAGUAUAAUUUACUAUCCUAUAGGAAAACUCGGGCGACCGCUGUAAUAUUUCUCUUUAAAACAGAGGAAGAUUGCGGCAAUAACAGGUCUGUGAUG